rnacentral:rRNA from 1 species
ACGGAGGGUGCGAGCGUUAAUCGGAAUUACUGGGCGUAAAGCGCACGUAGGCGGCGCCGUAAGUCGGAUGUGAAAGCCCUCGGCUCAACCGGGGAAGUGCCUUGGAUACUGCCACGCUUGAGUGCGGGAGAGGGUAGCGGAAUUCCAGGUGUAGGGGUGAAAUCCGUAGAUAUGUGGAGGAACACCAGUGGCGAAGGCGGCCACCUGGCCGGCAACUGACGCUGAGGUGCGAAAGCGUGGGGAUCAAACAG